AUUGAACGCUGGCGGCAGGCCUAACACAUGCAAGUCGAACGGUAACAGGAAGCAGCUUGCUGCUUUGCUGACGAGUGGCGGACGGGUGAGUAAUGUCUGGGAAACUGCCUGAUGGAGGGGGAUAACUACUGGAAACGGUAGCUAAUACCGCAUAACGUCGCAAGACCAAAGAGGGGGACCUUCGGGCCUCUUGCCAUCGGAUGUGCCCAGAUGGGAUUAGCUAGUAGGUGGGGUAACGGCUCACCUAGGCGACGAUCCCUAGCUGGUCUGAGAGGAUGACCAGCCACACUGGAACUGAGACACGGUCCAGACUCCUACGGGAGGCAGCAGUGGGGAAUAUUGCACAAUGGGCGCAAGCCUGAUGCAGCCAUGCCGCGUGUAUGAAGAAGGCCUGCGGGUUGUAAAGUACUUUCAGCGGGGAGGAAGGGAGUAAAGUUAAUACCUUUGCUCAUUGACGUACCCGCAGAAGAAGCACCGGCUAACUCCGUG
rnacentral:rRNA from 1 species